GACCGACCGGAACGCGGCGAGCUCCGAGCUCCCGACGGCCAGGCCCGAGCUGCGCCGGACUGGGCCGGGGUGGGCUCGCAGGGACGAGGUUCGGGGACGGGACCCAGUUCCGUGGCGGGCUGCUUUCCUUCCUCAGAGGCCGCGAGGUCAUGGCGGCGGCUCGAGUUCCCUGCUUCCAGUGUGGGUUGGUCAGUUCCUCCACAGCGCUUUUAAACGCCGUGAGACGGUCCCACUCUGCCAGCUGCUCUGUGGCAAGCUGCCCAGCGUUUCACCCGUGUGUUCCCUGCCGCCCGCGCUCGGCGCGGCCUCGACUCAGCCUCCCCGAGGAGGUCCCCUCGACCGUCGUGGCCCUGGCGUUUGCCAUGCGAGGACAUCGCGUUGCGCUCCUGAGCCGAAACCUGUGCGCGCUCGGCGGCUGAGGCCUUUGGUGCCGCAGGAGGCAGAAACCGGAGCUCCCGUGCCCGGCCCCGCAGGGACCGGAAAGGCGAGCAGCCUGCGCUGCCCUCUCCGCCCGCUCGGAACCAGGGUCCCUAGGGUUCGGUCGCUCAGGUUCUGCCCUGAACCAGGCACAGGUCCAUCGGAUCAUUUCCACUUACGAAGUAAACGAUUUGGUUUUUUUAAAACUUCAUUUUAAACAUUAGGUAUUUUAAAUCAUCACAAAAUGAAGUUGGAAGACUAAGUUACUGGAGUCAACUUAGAUAACUUGAUACAUUACAUAUUAUCAAUGACAUUUUAAAAACAAAACUGAUUUUUGACUUCGGAAAACCAAGUAAUAAUUGUCAUUUCUAGUUAGAGACUGAAGCAAAUUGUGAAAAAUCAUGUAAAUACCUAGGCUACUUUCUCAAACUACUGUUGUUUUUCUCUUUUUUAAAGACUGCUAAAAAUCGUGAGAUUUGGAAGUAGAAGAUGUUCAGGUUAUGUUUUCAGAAAGAUGCUUGUCAAUCACAGUCAACAAGCUGUGGGUUUCCUGAAUGGAAGUAAAAGCCGCGCAGAGUUAAAAGUCGUCCCAUGUCUUGGGACUGUGCUUCUGGUGGCAGUGCCUCCCCUCUGUGGAUGAAACAUGCCGCGUUGGAUGCAUUCCCGUGAAGCAGGCAUUGUCUCUGCUCCCCGGAGGAUCCUAGCUCUCUGAAAGAGCUCUUUCAGGAAACACCUAGGUUCAACUUCAUGCAGCAGGAGCUCCAGUUGGAUUCACUUGGUACUUCAGUAUGCUGGAAACGAGAAAGCUUCAUUUAUAAUGUAAAGGUACCUAAGAGCCAUCUGACACUUCUAUUCAUGUCAGUAAGAAUGGUUUCUGUCCACACGGGCGUAGAGUCUGCCCCGGACAGGAUACACUGAUGAUGUCCAUUUCAACAUUAGCAUACGUGGACAUUUGCAGCACUUCCUGUUUUCUUAAUUUUUAACUUUCAAUUUUAAACUUUUAUUAACAAAAGGGGAACUGUACUGGAACGGAUGGAGCCAAAUGUACCACUGUGUGCAGCUUUGGUAAAGGAAUUUAAAGGAGGUAAAAUAUGUGCGCUUCAUUGUCUCGGUGGCAGAAAGAAGUGAGUCAGGACCUGGUACAAGGAUGUUGCAAGCCCUUCAUUUACUGACUUCUUGCCUCUGUCAGCUGCGGCUCAAAGCACUUCCUGUGUUGACUGAUUUGGCCUGGUGACAGUGGUGUGGGGCAGGUGCUGUGCAGCUGAGAAAAUAGGAGGUUAAGCACUUCCCCAAACUCACCAAGACAGCCUGUUCUCCACACCCCACACCAUCUAGCACCAGACUUCCCAGGGCAGGCAUGAAACAUGUGGGGACCUGCUCAGUGCACCCCAGACCUGCAGAGCCUGAACCUCUGAGCCAGCCCAGCCUGAGUUUUACUAAAGCCACUCAGACUAGAGUUUGAGAAUCCCUGGCAAAAAGGAAGGUGGUGGCAAUGUUAACGAUCUCUUUUCAUGGAUUUUCAUUCUAGAACAAAUGCUGGGAAGUUGCUCUAACAUACAGUAUGUGUGUUCCCAAAGGUGAAGGCUCCAGAUGUGGCGGCCAAGCUGAAGAGACCAUCAGAGAGGCUGAAGGAGAAGCAGGAUGAACAGCAGAAUUACCAGGUUCUGACUCUGACGGUGGCCAGUCUGUGUCUCUUCUUCAUGGUGCUUGCCACACACCUUGCAGAUUUCCUGACCUCCAGACAGCCCUCUCUUUCCCUUGCCUGGACCCUGUGUUUUUUCUGGAAGCAUCAUCUCCAGCAGAAUCUCCCAGGGCAAUGCUUCCCACCCAUCACCAGGCACAUGCAGGACAGGGAGGACAUUUUAUGCCUCUGUGUAUCCAUCAUCAAAUGAUUCCUUGAUUAUGAAACUGUCCUAUGUGCUCCUAAAAUGCAGGCUGUGGUGAGCCGUUCCCCCAUGGCCUGGGUACCCAGCUCCCAGAGGCUGGAUCGGCUCAAGGCAUCGGAGCCUGCCCUGCCUCUCCCUUGGGUGCCUCCCUCUGUGACUUUGACCCUGGGAUGCUCCUGGGCUCUGCAGGGUACAUAAGCCUGCCUUUCAAGGACUCAGACCAUUCCCUUCAGGGAGCAAGGGAAGGGUUGCUGCCAUCUCUGUGCUGUUUGUAAUGAGCACCCAGUGCAAUCCAAUCUGUUUAAAACAUGUGGAGAUGGUUACAUAAAAUGUUUGAGAUGAAUACUUAAAGUCAGGUUCAUAUAAUUACUCUUCAUUUAUAUCUCUUCAUUUCACUUGCACAAGACCCUCCUGACUGGCAGCAUGAGACCCACGUGGAACACAGCAGAGUGCGGAGUUACGCUGUUCACAGCACGGGUACCAUGCAGACCCUGUGUGCAAGGCUAGUUCCCAGCCAGGCGCUGCUGGGAGGUGGUGGCACCUUUGAGGGUGAGGCCGAGCAGGACAUUAGGUCAUGAAGGACACAUCCUUGAAGGGAGCUCUCAGACCACAGUCUCCUCAUCCUCUUUUUCACAUCCGGCCCUGAGGUGAGAGGCUUUGGUGGACCACACACUCCCACUUCGGUGCGCUGCCUCAGCCUAGGAAACUGCAGGGCAGACAACCACACCUGAAUCUCCAACAUGUGAGUCAGAAGAAACUACUUCUGCAGGGGAAGGGGGAGUUGGGGUGCAGGGCAAAGGAGAGAAGGGGAUGGAAUUCAUAUGAGAAAAUGGAACAGUGGAAACAAAGUCUGUAAACAGGGAGGGAGUGGAGGGGUGGAGGGAGGGCAGGGGAAGGGAAAAUAAGAACCUAAGAGAGUAUGUAAAGGUGCAGAUCUCCAAUGAUGAGUGUCAUUAUACUGUACACCUAAAAUGUACCAAUAAAAUUAAUUUAAAAAGAAGAAGA
ensembl:lncRNA